rnacentral:rRNA from 1 species
UUGUUUAUCAAAAACAUGUCCUGUAGUUUUAUAUUUCAGGUUUGCCCUGCUCAAUGAUGUUUAAAUUUAAUAGCCGCAGUAUUUUGACUGUGCAAAGGUAGCAUAAUCAUUUGUCUUUUAAUUGAAGGCUAGCAUGAAUGGGUUGAUGAGAAGUUGACUUUCUUUAUAGAAAGGAAUUUAACUUAAUUUUUGUGUUAAAAAGCACAGAUUUAAUUAUGGGACGAGAAGACCCUAUAGAAAUUUAUUCAUUUUUAUGAGUUUUAAUUUAAUAAUUUCUUUUAAUAAUGAGUUUUGUUGGGGCGACAGGGAGAUUAUUUAAACUCUUUUUAUUUAUAAUUUAUUAAUUAGUAUAUUUUAAUGAUCCUUUUAUAAGGAUAAGAAGAUUAAUUUACCUUAGGGAUAACAGCGUAAUUUUUUCGGAGAGUUCAUAUUGAUGAAAAAGUUUGCGACCUCGAUGUUGGAUUAAAAUAUGUAUUAAGUGCAGAAGCUUAAUUACUAGGUCUGUUCGACCUUUAAUAUUUUACAUGAUCUGAGUUCAAACCGGAGA